CCAAUAGCGUAUAUUAAAGUUGUUGCAGUUAAAAAGCUCGUAGUUGAAUUUCGGGAUCAAUAUUUCGGUCCUGCCGUUGGUAUGCACUGUUAUCAUUGAUUUCUCACCUUCUAAAGAACCGUAAUGCCAUUAAUUUGGUGUUACUGGGAAUUAGGACUGUUACCUUGAAAAACUUAGAGUGUUUCAUGCAGGCUCACGCUUGAAUAAAUUAGCAUCGAAUAAUGAAAUAGGACAUCCGAUUCUAUUUUGUUGGUUUCUAGGAUCGAUGUAAUGAUUAAUAGGGAUAGUUGGGGGCAUUAGUAUUCAAUUGUCAGAGGUGAAAUUCUUGGAUUUAUUGAAGACUAACUACUGCGAAAGCAUUUGCCAAGGAUGUUUUCAUUAAUCAAGAACGAAAGUUAGGGGAUCGAAGACGAUCAGAUACCGUCGUAGUCUUAACCACAAACUAUGCCGACUAGGGAUCGGAUGAUGUUAAUUUUUUAAUGACUCAUUCGGCGCCUUACG
rnacentral:rRNA from 1 species